AAAGUACUCCCUCCAUCCCAAAAUUCUUGUCUUAGAUUUGUAUAGAUACGGAUGUAUCAAGUCACAUUUUAGUAUUAGAUACAUCCGUAUCUAGACAAAUCUAAGACAAGAAAUUUGGGAUAGAGGGAGUAGUUG
rnacentral:pre_miRNA from 1 species